GCCUGGCUGGCUUAGUUGGUAGAGCAUGGGACUCUUGAUCUUAAGGUUGUGAGUUCGAGCCCCAUGUUGAGUG
rnacentral:tRNA from 1 species